rnacentral:rRNA from 1 species
GCGAAAGCGUUAAGUGCUCCACCUGGGGAGUACGCCGGCAACGGUGAAACUCAAAGGAAUUGACGGGGGCCCGCACAAGCGGAGGAACAUGUGGUUUAAUUCGAUGAUACGCGAGGAACCUUACCCGGGCUCAAACGCGGCGUGAAUACUUUUGAAAGGAGGUAGUCAGCAAUGACACGCCGCGAGGUGCUGCAUGGUUGUCGUCAGCUCGUGCCGUGAGGUGUCGGCUUAAGUGCCAUAACGAGCGCAACCCCUACCGUCAGUUGCCAGCAGGUAAGGCUGGGGACUCUGACGGGACUGCCGGCGCAAGCUGCGGGGAAGGCGGGGAUGACGUCAAAUCAGCACGGCCCUUACGUCCGGGGCGACACACGUGUUACAAUGGCAGGUACAGCGGGAAGCCACCUGGCGACAGGGCGCGGAACCCGAAAACCUGUCUCAGUUCGGAUUGGAGUCUGCAACCCGACUCCAUGAAGCUGGAUUCGCUAGUAAUCGCGCAUCAGCCACGGCGCGGUGAAUACGUUCCCGGGCCUUGUACACACCGCCCGUC